rnacentral:rRNA from 1 species
AGAGUUUGAUCCUGGCUCAGGACGAACGCUGGCGGCGUGCCUAAUACAUGCAAGUCGAACGAAGCUUUCUUUCACCGAAUGCUUGCAUUCACCGAAAGAAGCUUAGUGGCGAACGGGUGAGUAACACGUAGGCAACCUGCCCAAAAGAGGGGGAUAACACUUGGAAACAGGUGCUAAUACCGCAUAACCAUGAACACCGCAUGAUGUUCGUGUAAAAGACGGCUUUUGCUGUCACUUUUGGAUGGGCCUGCGGCGUAUUAACUUGUUGGUGGGGUAACGGCCUACCAAGGUGAUGAUACGUAGCCGAACUGAGAGGUUGAUCGGCCACAUUGGGACUGAGACACGGCCCAAACUCCUACGGGAGGCAGCAGUAGGGAAUCUUCCACAAUGGACGAAAGUCUGAUGGAGCAACGCCGCGUGAAUGAAGAAGGCCUUCGGGUCGUAAAAUUCUGUUGUCAGAGAAGAAUGUGCGUGAGAGUAACUGUUCACGUAUUGACGGUAUCUGACCAGAAAGCCACGGCUAACUACGUGCCAGCAGCCGCGGUAAUACGUAGGUGGCAAGCGUUGUCCGGAUUUAUUGGGCGUAAAGGGAACGCAGGCGGUCUUUUAAGUCUGAUGUGAAAGCCUUCGGCUUAACCGAAGUAGUGCAUUGGAAACUGGAAGACUUGAGUGCAGAAGAGGAGAGUGGAACUCCAUGUGUAGCGGUGAAAUGCGUAGAUAUAUGGAAGAACACCAGUGGCGAAAGCGGCUCUCUGGUCUGUAACUGACGCUGAGGUUCGAAAGCGUGGGUAGCAAACAGGAUUAGAUACCCUGGUAGUCCACGCCGUAAACGAUGAGUGCUAAGUGUUGGAGGGUUUCCGCCCUUCAGUGCUGCAGCUAACGCAUUAAGCACUCCGCCUGGGGAUUACGGUCGCAAGACUGAAACCCAAAGGAAUUGACGGGGGCCCGCACAAGCGGUGGAGCAUGUGGUUUAAUUCGAAGCAACGCGAAGAACCUUACCAGGUCUUGACAUCUUCUGACAAUUCCAGAGAUGGAACGUUCCCUUCGGGGACAGAAUGACAGGUGGUGCAUGGUUGUCGUCAGCUCGUGUCGUGAGAUGUUGGGUUAAGUCCCGCAACGAGCGCAACCCUUAUUGUCAGUUGCCAUCAUUAAGUUGGGCACUCUGGCGAGACUGCCGGUGACAAACCGGAGGAAGGUGGGGAUGACGUCAAAUCAUCAUGCCCCUUAUGACCUGGGCUACACACGUGCUACAAUGGACGGUACAACGAGUCGCUAACUCGCGAGGGCAAGCUAAUCUCUUAAAGCCGUUCUCAGUUCGGAUUGCAGGCUGCAACUCGCCUGCAUGAAGUCGGAAUCGCUAGUAAUCGCGAAUCAGCAUGUCGCGGUGAAUACGUUCCCGGGCCUUGUACACACCGCCCGUCACACCAUGAGAGUUUGUAACACCCAAAGUCGGUGGGGUAACCUUUUGGAGCCAGCCGCCUAAGGUGGGACAGAUGAUUGGGGUGAAGUCGGAACAAGGUA